rnacentral:misc_RNA from 1 species
GUCAAAAUUGCCACUUCUGAAUUUUUUAAACCACUCAAAGCACUGUGAUUUACCAAGAGCAUGCUCGCCGUAAGCUUCGACAAGCAUUCGAUGCGAUUCUGCAGCAGUUUUCUUCAAAUGGUAACAGAAAAUCAAUGCUGUCCGCAAAUCGUAGUUUCCAGGCACAAAAUUCGACAUGUUCAACGCUAUUACAAACUAUGCUGUUGUAUGAAACUUGUAUUGUUGCAAAUUCCGGUUUCAUACUUACAGAUCUGAUA